AUUGGCAGCAGUGAGGAAUUUUGCGCAAUGGCCGCAAGGCUGACGCAGCAACGCCGCGUGGGUGAUGAAGGCCUUCGGGUCGUAAAGCCCUGUCAGGUGGGAAGAAAGGCCUUAAGGAGAAACGCUUGAGGUUUGACGGUACCACCAGAGGAAGCACCGGCUAACUCCGUGCCAGCAGCCGCGGUAAUACGGAGGGUGCGAGCGUUAUUCGGAAUUACUGGGCGCAAAGCGCGUGUAGGCGGGGGGACAAGUCUGAUGUGAAAGCCCUGGGCUUAACCUGGGAAGUGCAUUGGAAACUGUUUUUCUUGAGUACUGGAGAGGAAGGGGGAAUUCCCGGUGUAGAGGUGAAAUUCGUAGAGAUCGGGAGGAAUACCAGUGGCGUAGGCGCCCUUCUGGACGGUAACUGACGCUGAGACGCGAAAGCGUGGGGAGCAAACAGGAUUAGAUACCCUGGUAGUCCACGCUGUAAACGAUGAUCACUAGGUGUAGCGGGUACUCAUUCCUGCUGUGCCGCAGCUAACGCGUUAAGUGAUCCGCCUGGGGAUUACGGUCGCAAGACUAAAACUCAAAGGAAUUGACGGAAU
rnacentral:rRNA from 1 species